CACUUCUGUGUCUGAGUGCUCUACCAAAUAUUUACAAGAUAGUCAGAUAAAAUGGCUACAGGCAAGUUCAGCAGGGUUUGACUGAACAGCCAGUAGUGCAGCACUGUCAAGAAGAAAAUCUAAACUUUAGUUAAAACAAAAUUAAAUUUUACAAAGGUCUCUUCAAAGCACAGAACUGGUAACCUUGAAGCUGGAAAAUUGCUCUUCCCCAAGGUGAAACAUAUUAGCUUUUACAAGUAGCUUAUUGAAAUGGAAUAGCUUCCUUGUUGUGAUGGAAACUUCUUUAUUAAAGGAGAGCCCAAAGCUGGGUGACUGGGUAUGUAAGCAGACAGCUGUGGAGUAGCUUCCUCCAUGCCAUCCUGUUUGGUGCCUGGGAGCGAUUCGACAUCACCUUCCACAUCCCAUCAGCUCCUCAGUCUCAUGCACUGCCACAGUAAGGGUGUGCUGGACUUUUUACUAGGGGCCACGUGCCCUCAGGAACUCUCACAUCACCUCAGGACUGCCUAGCAAACAGCAGAAGGCAACCUGCUUGUGUCACCACCACAGGCGGCCCCACCACAGCUGAUGUCCUUGCUGGGUUACCUACAGCCACUUCAGCAGUGCUCCAGACCGCCGUAUUUCUGUACAGGCUACUCUGCUUCUCAAGAGGUUGCUCAAGGAUGAUCCUGACCACAGCACAGCCAGUGAUGCCUUCAGCAGCCUCCAGCACAUCACACAUUCUCUAAGUUUGUAAGCAAUUUGUGCCAAUUCCAGACAACUCCAGAUGUGUGUCUUUCCCACCAGUAUCUGCAGAGACUUGGCUCUGGAGACAGGGAUCUGCUUGCCAACAUACUGCCUCCCCGUGCUUUCAGCCCCAAGGGUCGAGUUCCUGCUGCCACACUCAUCUCUGGCUGUGCUGCCAGACAUGCUGUGGGAUGGAGGGCAGACGUGCUGGUAAGGAACAAUUCUGCUUUCUUCUACACGAGUAUAGUGUUGAUGUAAAAUUGUUUAACACAGACGAGACACUCUUGCCUUCAAAGUACACCAAACAGUCACAUUAAAGCCCUGAGAAAAGUUAAGAAAGGAGCACAUAGAUUAGUUUGAAUCAUUUUGACCUUGUCUACAUUUUAAGUAUUAGAUGGUAAAGUUAUGUUGGCAAACUUUACUCUUAGAUAUUUCUCCUUCUCUCCUAGAUUUAAAUAAAAAAAACCAACUCUGUUUCUUCUUAUAUUCUGAGCAAAGAAAACACUAACAGCAAACGGGCUUCUAUGGAGUUACAACUGCACAAACAAAAAACGUUUUUUCUGGUAGAGAAAUCUCACAAAGAAAUCUUGCUCUUUUUUGACAUCAUUACUUUGGCAAAACUUACCAGGUGUUAUUAGGUGUUCAAACUUAGACUGCCUUUUCCACAGCUUUUAAAACAGAGAGUUACUAUACACAACCUAACACUUUUCAAGUUCAAACUCUUAAACCCUAGUCCAGACAGGGCCUUUGGGAGUAACGUUCAAACUCACCCUGCCUGAUCUUCAACAGCUCAUGCUUCUGCCCAGAUCAUACCUUCCCAGGGGUGUCCUGAGACCAGUUGCGGUCAGAGUCCAGCACUCCACACUGCUGCUCCCAUGGGAAGAGGGAGAGGACACUGCCAGGGCAGAGGCUGGUGUGGUACCUUCUGCAAGCACCACCACACUCAUCUAUGAUGCCACGGGGCAUAAGUGCACAGAGAGGAUGUGUCCUAUCAGCUUCAGGUGGGUGGCAGGGCAACUUCAGGGAGCUAAACCUUGGCACUGGCCUUUGGGAAAAACCAGUCUGUGAUUCAUCUGACUGUAAAAAAUUGAGAGAAAAGAAUUGGAAUAGCUGAACAAAAAUAAA